rnacentral:rRNA from 1 species
ACCGACUCCUACGGGAGGCAGCAGUGCGGAAUAUUGGUCACUGGGCGAGAGCCUGCCCCAGCCAAGUCGCUUGAAGGAUUACGGCUCUAUGGUUUUUCCCCUUCUUUUAUCUUUGAAUAAAGUGCGGCACGUGUUCCUUUUUGUAUGUACCCUCUUAAUAAGCCUCUGCUAACUCCGUUCCCUCAGCCGCGUUCCUACGGAGGAUUCGCUCUUUAUCCGGAUUUAUUGGGUUUAAAGGGUGCGUAGGUGGGGAAGGAAGUCAGCUGGGAAAGUUUGUGGGGCAACCAUAAAAUUGCCGUUGAAACUGGUUGACUUGAGUAUAUUUGAGGGAGGCGGAAUGCGUGGUGUAGCGGUGAAAUGCAUAGAUAGACCGCAGAACUCCGAUUGCGAAGGCAGCGUACUAAACUAUAACUGACACUGAAGCACGAAAGCGUGGGG